rnacentral:lncRNA from 1 species
AGAGAGCCACAGAGUGGGACCUCAGUCCAGAGGAGCUACAGGGCAGGACCCACACACACAGCCAUGAACUGAUAUGUUACAGGACCCCCACAGAGAGUCAAAGGGCAAAGGCCACCCCACAAAGCCAUUGGGACUAUGGGUGUAGAAGACAGGGUAUUGAGAAAAAAAAAAAAAAAAAGACUAUUCUUGAGCCUUAGUAUCCAGUGGAGUUUGCCUUAUUACAUUUUGGAUUUGCUCGGAAUGCAUCACCCCUUUCUUCCUACAGCUUCUUCUGUGGGGAUGGGAAUAUCUAUGUUUUGCCUAUCCCACCAUUGUAAUCUGGAAGUGCCUAACUUGUCAGUUUCACAGACUCACAGGUGGAAAGGAAUUUUGCUUCAGGAUGAAUCGUACCUUGAGUCUCACCCAUUUCUGAUUUAGAUAUUUAAUUGAGACUUUGAACUUUACAUUUUAUGAUUGAUACUGAAACAAGUUAAGAUUUUGGGACUGUUGGGAUAGAAUGGAUGUGUUUUGCAGGACAUGAAUUCUGGUGUGGAGGCUGAGGCAGAAUACUAUGUUUCUCUUCUCCCUCUCCCUCUCCCUCUCUCUCUGCCUGCCAUGUGAGGACACAGUCAUAAGGAAGCUGUUUACAAUCCAGGAAGACAGCCCUCAAUCAGAAAUUGACCAUCUUGCAUCUUGAUCUUAGACUUCUAGCUUCCAGAAUUGUGAGAAGUAAAUUUUCACUCUUUAAGCCACCUGUCUACAGUAUUUUGUUAUGGUAUCCUGAGCAUGUUUAAAGGGAUGAAUUGAAAUUUUCAAGAGAACUAGAAAUAAUAGAAAAGAUAUAGCAGAUCUGAAGAAAAGAGAAAUUCUAAAAUUUAAACACACAGUAACCAAAAUGAAAAACUCAAGUAGAUUUAAAAGCAGAGUACUUACACCCAAAGAUAAAACUAGUUAAUUAAGAGAUAGGUCAGAAGAAAAUAUUUGGAAAGAAGUAUUGGCGAGGAUGUGGGGAAAAGGGCACACUCUUAUGUUGCUGGUGGGACUGCAAAUUGGUACAACCAAUCUGGAAAGCAGUAUGGAGAUUCCUUGGAAAACUUGGAAUGGAAUCACCAUUUUACCCAGCUAUUCCACUUCUCUGUUUAUACCCGAAAGACUUAAAAACAGCAUACUACAGGGACACAGCCAUAUCAAUGUUUAUAACAGCACAAUUCACAAUAGCUAAACUGUGGCACCAACCCAGAUGCCCUUCAGUAAAUGAAUGGAUAAAGAAAAUGUGAGAUAUAUAUAUAUAUAUAUACACACACACACACACACA